ACCAAAGGGACCAUAGCACAUAGAAUAAAACUCAAAACAGGACUUCAUGUUUUAUGGAAAUUGUAUUUAACCACUUCAACAUUGUAAAUCUGGAUAACUUAAUAUCUAAAGUAUAUAAGAAAGUAAAAUUUAACAUGUUAAUAUGGAAAUAUUUUUUUAUUUUUGUAUCUUGAUGACUUAAAUGUAAGCAACAAAGUGGUUAAACACAUACCCAUCUAAAUUUUUUUAUAGCCUUCCAUGUUAAACUUUAAAUGAAUAAUUAGUUUUAAAAUUGUUUUGUAUUUUCUUAUUCCUGUUCCCUUUACCCUUUGACAACUUGAAAUGUUACCACUUCGUCCUCAUGAUGUUCUUCUAUCAACCCUGCUUAGGAUGAGAACAAGUUGAGCAGUGCCAACGGCCAUGAAGAACGUAGCAAAAAAAUACUUUGCAUUUAAAAUUUAGAUCUUCUUACAUGGAAGAGGUCAAAUCCAGUUAUAGCAAAACACCUUUACUGCAGAGGCCAUAUAACCAAAAAGUCCAAAGGCCCAGCCCAGUGGACCAUUUACUUCAAUGAUGUUCAGUACAAAAUUUCACUGCCAUUAAAGACUUUGGAAAGUCCCUUUUAAGUUGUAACAGGAUUUGACUAUUAGUGUGGAUUUCGAUAACCCUUCUUUAGUUCAUGUAAUAAAUGCCCUUUGAAACUGGAA